AGUGAGCUUAGUGAGGUUCCAAGGAAGCUCGGAGUGCUUCGUUGGAAGUUUUUGGACGUAAGAACACGGAGAUCGAUAAGUUCAAAGUUUGGCCGGAGCUUUCGAGGCAUUUUCCGGCGAAUCCCCGGCGAGUUAGGCGUCGAGGUAGGUAUAAAUCUCUUCGUCUCGUCAAGUACUACAACUUUCCUUUUUGUUUCACUCAAUUUCGUUGAGUAUUGAAGAAGUUAUACUCAUUUGAAAAAUACCCAGUUUCCGGCGACCUCCGAGGCUUUCGAGGCAGUUUCCGGCCAAACUACGGCGAACUAGGUGUUGGGAAAGGUACCAUUCUCUUUUGUCUCUUCAAGGGCUACAACUUUCGUUUUUGAAUCACUUGAUUUCGUUGAGAAAUGACAAAGUUAUGGCAAUUUGAAAAACUGCCCAAAAAACGGCCGCCGGAAAAACCAGUCCGGCGACCCAAGGAAGAAGGUGCUACAGUAAAAAUAAAAAAUAAAAAUAAAAUUAUUUUAAAAAUAUGUCGACGUCCGUGACGUCGAGUAGAUCACUGUGGUAUAUUCAUAUACCUAAAUUGAACACCGUAUGAGAAAGUUAUUGAAGAUUGUUGGUUAGGUGUUCGAAUAACGUUUUAUAGUUUUCACAUUUAGGUAAAAAUGUGAAUUGACGAUCCGACCGUUGGAUGGUGAUGAAAUUUUAGGAUGUUGUCCUAGAGGUAUAAUGUGGACCUCUGGAAGUUAUGGAUUUAAAAUCUGAGGGGUGGAUCUUCCGGAUCGAACUACGUAGUGACGUAUUUAUAUAAGUUAUAUAUUCUAUCGAUAUGAAUUCUGAGGUUGGAUUUGAUUACUAUUCUAGGCGGCGAUCGUCGUGACGCCUUGAUGUGUGGUGCUAGGGAGUUGUUGGACGAACUCCAGGUGAGUGGGCAGUUUUGUUUUCCGUAUAUAUAUAUAUACUUGACGUUUCCCAGAAAUUGAAUUGAAAUGAAAAUAUGUUUAAAAUGAAAUGCAUAUGAGUUAUGUGGAAAAACGGGAAGUGAAAUACCAUGCAUAGAAUUGAUAUGAAAAGUAUAUAGAAAUGUGAGUUGAAAUGCCAUGCAUGAAUUAAUAUAUGAUGCAUAUGUAUGAAUUGGUGCGGUGGACGCACAGGUAAGAAUUGAUUUAUGAUGCAUAUGUAUGAAUUGGUGCGGUGGACGCACAGGUAAGAAUUGAUUUAUGAUGCAUAUGUAUGAAAUGGUGCGGUGGACGCACAGGUGAGUAUUUAAUUACUGUUAUGAUGAUGAUGAUAUAUAUUGAGCUCAAAUCCUGCACCAUGGUUUAGUGCUUAUAGUAUUCACCGCAUCGCACGCUCGCCUUGGAUCCAAGUAGAUGCUAGUCGUACAGUCCACGCGGAGUGGGUACGACAGACCAGUCGCGAGAGUGUUAGUGAGAUUCCGACUGGUGGGUGACCUUAGAUUAUGUGCACAGAUGAUUUAUGAGAAGCACUAGAGCGUAACUUGUGUGCAGAAGGCCGGACGGGUCACAGAGGUGACUCCGGUAGAGUGAUAAUGAUAGAUUUUGAGCUCUAGGUUCAACCGUACAGGGCUAUUAGAGGGCCUCCGGUUGAUUACUUUCUUGCACCUGAUAUGAUUAUUGUUGAUGCAUCCAUACUUAACUGUUGAAUUAGACAUGGCAUGGCAUGAUUGAUAAAGAAAAAAAUGUUGAGUUAAUGAAUUAAAGUAUUGAGAAUAUAUAUGUAUAAUUAUAUUUUACAUUUCUGGGAAAAUAUACAGGUUUUACGGAGAGGGGUUACAACGUUUUGAAAAAUGUUUGGAUUUGGAAAAGAAUGGUUUUACUGACCCACUCAAUUUUGGUUUUGCGCCCCUCCAGGUUCAGGAAUCACAAAGGUGUGGUGACUACGAGGAAUUCCGCGGGGUUCUGACAGAAUGGACCAAAUUAGGACUCACCUUCGGGUGUAUCAACGUAUAAAUUGUAUAAUUAAAGCUUCCGUACUGUGCAAAUGGUUACGUCACUCUCACGUGACGGCCAGCAUGCCCUCCUUCGGGACGGGGUGUGUCAAUAUAGACGCCACGCUAUCAUUUAACGAGAGAACUAACAGUUUGACUAACAGAUGUAUGAGACUGUCCUAAAAUUAACAUUUUAGGUAUGAUUCUGGAAUGAAAAAAACUUGAUGUACUAAAUAUUGAAAAUCACGAAAUAUGAGGAUAGUAAAUAAAGUUUAACCCAUAUAUAUAUAUGAUGAUGAUGAUGAACUAGUAAUUAGUGUGAUUAAAAUUGAUCUGGCUUUCUACAGUUUACCCACACCACAUAGAAAUGGAGUCCUCCACGGAAUUCCAUGAGCUUUGUGACUAAAGAAAAGGUCAAGAGUCUCCCACACACCACACUCAUCUAGGUCUCACAAAAACUUGUUUCCCCCUCCACGUGUUCCCAUGCAUGUCCCCAUACUCAAAUCAUCCCC
rnacentral:lncRNA from 1 species